rnacentral:misc_RNA from 1 species
AAGUCAUAACAAGGUUACUGUAGGUGAACCUGCAGUAGGAUCAUUAUUGAAAAAUAGGGCUUUCCCAUUCUUUGGGGCCCGAACCUUCACAUAAUUUCCACACACUUGUGAAUCGUUGGAGCGUUUUUUGAAAAAGAGACGCUCUGGCACCCUUUAAUCAUUACAAACACCGAGUUAAUGGAUGUAGUUGUAAACUUGUCUUUUGACAGAAACAAAAAUACAACUUUCGACAACGGAUCUCUUGGUUCUCC